GAUGAACGCUGGCGGCGUGCUAAUACAUGCAAGUCGAACGAGGUGCUUUUGUAGCAAUACGAGAGUAUCCUAGUGGCGAACGGGUGAGUAACGCGUUGGUGACCUACCCCAAAGUGUGGGAUAACAGUCCGAAAGGAUUGCUAAUACCGCAUGUGGUCAUCGGGUUUAGAAACCGAUGUCUAAAGGAGCAAUUCGCUUUGGGAGGGACCUGCGUCCCAUCAGCUAGUUGGUGAGGUAAUGGCUCACCAAGGCGACGACGGGUAGGGGACCUGAGAGGGUGGCCCCCCACAAUGGAACUGAAGCACGGUCCAUACACCUACGGGUGGCAGCAGUAGGGAAUAUUGCACAAUGGGCGAAAGCCUGAUGCAGCAACACCGCGUGUGCGAUGAAGGCCUUCGGGUCGUAAAGCACUUUUCUGAGAGAUGAGAAAGGACAGUAUCUCAGGAAUAAGUCUCGGCUAACUACGUG
rnacentral:rRNA from 1 species